rnacentral:rRNA from 1 species
GACGAACGCUGGCGGCGUGCUUAACACAUGCAAGUCGAACGGACAGGCCAUGCUUGCAGGGUACUCGAGUUGCGAACGGGCGAGUAACUCGUGGGUGAUUUGCCCUGCACUUCGGGUUAAGCAUGGGAAACAGGCUCUAACACCGACUAGGUGCCAUAUUUAGUGGGAUGGUUGGAUAGUUUUUUCGGUGUUUGCUGAGCCCGCUGCGUAUCGGCUUGCUGGUGGAGUAAUGGCCUACCAAAGCGGCGUCGCGUAGCCGGCCUGCGGGGGUGGACGGCGAUCCUGAGUCUGAGGGACGGCCCAGGCACCGACGGGAGGGAGCAGUGCGGAAUAUUGCACGAUGGGCGCAAGCUGGGUGCAGCGGCGCCGCGUGUCGGAUGACUCCCUUCGGGUUGUAGACUACUUGCGCAAGGGACGAUGCAUUUUGUGACGGUACCUAGAUAGGAAGCCCCGGCUAACUACGUG